UCCUCGGUAGUAUAUCGGCUAGUACACCCGCCUGUCAUGCAUUGUUCGAUCGCUCGCUACGCGGGAGAGCGGGGUUCGACUCCCCGCCGAGGAG